CUUUCCUAACUGCAGAAUGCUGGACUGGGGAUAGAGCUCAGUGGCAGAAGUGCCAGCCUGGCAAGCCUAAGGUCAUGAGUUUGAUUCCCGGGACCAAAUAAAUAAAUAAAUAAAUAAAUAAACUAACUGCAAAAUACCACUGCAGCGGCCCUCAUACCCGCUGUGAGGGUCUCAGGUGAAGUCUGCAGUCUGCCCUGCUGUGCUCUUACAAGUGUCAUUGAGGGUUUUUUUUUUCUUUAACAGUCACCUGUUGAGUUGUGGUUUUUUUUUUUUAAUGCAGAUUCUUAUUUGGUCAGUAGGUCAAGAUGGGGCCAGAGGUUUUUUUGGGUUUUUUGGAGACAGGGUCAAGCCUGGCCUUGAACUCAUCAUGUAGCCCAGGCUGGGCUCAAACUUAGGGAUCUUCCUGCCACAGCCUCUGGAGAGCUGGGGUAACAGGCGUGUGCCGCCCUGCCCACAGGACCUGAGAUCUUGUGUUUCGGGCAAGUUCCUGUUAACGCCCUGGUUCUGAGGGUGCAGCUACACUUUUAUUAGCACGGAGGGAGAAUGAUCUUCGACCCUCUCUAAGCUCUAAGAGCUUGCACCACUCCCCCGAAGAGGCUCUGCUUAUGAAGGACUUUUCUCCAUGUGCCUUUUUUCCCCUGCUGAGGGGUGGGGCUUGGACCCAAGGCCUUGCACGUGCUCGCUUAGGACUCUGCUCCUGAGCAAAAGCCAUAGCCCUGCUGUGAUGAUCUCUACCUCUCCAAAUGGAGCGGGCAUCAGCGGUCGCUCUGAGGGGGUCUGCAGCACCUCCUGCCCAGCUGAGGAGCACUGCACAGCGGCCUCGCGGUCUUACUCUGAAUGCAGCUGCGAGGCCUCCGGACAGUGGAGGGAAGAGCAAAUGGAACCCGAGAUGACCUUGGACGUGCCAUAGAAGUGCAACGUUUUCAUCUGUGGAAUGAAAAGUUUAUGCAUUCCUGGUUUUGGUUUUAGAUUUCUCUUUGUUUAAGACCGGGUCUCCCAAUGUAUUCUGGGCAGGCCUUGAGCUAUGCAACCCAGGCUGGCCUCGAACUCGCGAUGGGCCCUUCCUCCGUCUCUCUAGAGAUGGGGUUAAAUGUGCACCAGUACGCAGCCCCGCAUUCUUACUAAGUUUUGAUUCUGAAGUCCACUUUCAGAAUCACACAGACCUUAGUUUCCACAUUUUAAUGAAGGAGCCUAGCAUGGUAGCGCACGCCUGUCAGCCCAGUAGUCUGGGAGGCUGAGGCAGGCAGAUGGUGAAUUGGAGCCCAGCGUGGGCAAUUUAGCAAAUAAGUGAGGCCCCAAAUAAAAAUGUAGGGUGGGUGGAGGGGCUCGGGAUGGGCGAUCCUCAUCUCUACAGCGCUUUCCGCGCCCGCCCCAGAGGGAGGGCUCUGGGAGAGGCCAGCACCUCGGGCAGCUCCGCUGUCACUGCGGCAGGACGGGCCGCCCCUGCCCAGCGUCCGCGGCCUCCCCCAGGGCGCCGCGCGCUCCCCCGGCC
rnacentral:lncRNA from 1 species